GCAACAUGCAUGUGGACAUAGGUAAUUCUGUGUUGCAGAUUACAGAAAUGUUAUGAAAAACAAAAUGACUGUACAAAAAGUCGUAAUUAGACGAAACAACCUAACCUGUAAAACAUCUGGAAAAAUACUUGUAUAAUGGGAAAGCUUAGUACAUCCAUGACAAAUCUUGCUUGAAUGUGACAGACUUUGCAGCUCCUUGAACUCCCCUUUCUGAUAUCUGUGGACAAUCCUCUACAACCAAAAAGUCUAACUUGUAAGCCCCGACGAGAGGUUUCAACCCAUCAUCGGUCACUCCCAAACACUUCCUCAACCGUAAUGUACAUAAUUGAGGAAUUUGGCUAGCAAGCUGCAUUCCAUCAUCAGUGAUUUCUUGGCACCUUACAAGUUCCAAGAUUUGGAGAUAUUCUGCUGAACGAAGAGCUAGCAUUCCAAUAUCGUCAAAAGAAUACACAUGGUCAAGAG
rnacentral:misc_RNA from 1 species